CACGGAAUUAGCCGGUCCUUAUUCAUAAGGUACAUGCAAAAAGUCUCACGAGACUCACUUUAUUCCCUUAUAAAAGCAGUUUACAACCCAUAGGGCCGUCAUCCUGCACGCUACUUGGCUGGUUCAGACUCUCGUCCAUUGACCAAUAUUCCUCACUGCUGCCUCCCGUAGGAGUUUGGACCGUGUCUCAGUUCCAAUGUGGGGGACCUUCCUCUCAGAACCCCUACUGAUCGUCGCCUUGGUGGGCCGUUACCCCGCCAACAAGCUAAUCAGACGCAUCCCCAUCCAUCACCGAUAAAUCUUUAAUCUCUUUCAGAUGUCUUCUAGAGAUAUCAUUGGGUAUUAGUCUUACUUUCGCAAGGUUAUCCCAAGUGAUGGGCAGGUUGAUACGCGUUACUCACCGUGCGCCGGUCGACGCCAUCAAAAGCAAGCUUUCGAUGUCGUUUCCCCUCGUACUUGCAUGUGUUAAGCCUGUAGCUAGCGUUCAUCCUGA
rnacentral:rRNA from 1 species